AAUAUUAAGGUUUCCUAAUUGAUCCUCUUGUUCUUUAUCCAUACGUCCUUUCUGUCGUUGAGGAUGUUUGUGUUAGUCCUUUGUAAUCGUCAUCUCCGUUUGCUCUUGUUGUGGGUGGUGAAUUACCUUCAUCAUCUUGUGUGCAUCUUCUUCCUGCUCAGCUUGAAGAAGUGUGAAAUUCGGUGGAGGUCCAUGAGUUUAGUUGAAACUCGAUAGAGAGUGUGAACACUGUAUAUAAGUUCCAUAGAUCCGUAAGUGGAGAAAAACAAGUUGCUUCCAAUCUCCGUCUUUCGAAACUCCUAGCUGAAUACAAGCAUUGUAUUGCAGAUCUUGUUCCUUUGCUCUAACUUUUUGCUGGUCAUCAAUUUUGUUGGCUGAUGUAGCUUAGGUUAGUUAGCUUUCUCACAGUUAUUUUGCCCUUAUGGCCAUAAACUAUUCUAUAAAUGUAAUAAUUGUGAAACUCUGUGGUCCUUCUUUUCUUGCCUUUCAUUAUUGAUUAUGUGUGACUGAUAUUUUCUUUGUUCUAACCCUUAUAUAAGGAAUCAUCAUGUUGUCUAUGUUUA